rnacentral:rRNA from 1 species
UACGUAGGGUCCGAGCGUUGUCCGGAAUUAUUGGGCGUAAAGGGCUCGUAGGCGGUUUGUCGCGUCGGGAGUGAAAACCUACAGCUUAACUGUGGGCUUGCUUUCGAUACGGGCAGACUUGAGGCAUGCAGGGGAGAACGGAAUUCCUAGUGUAGCGGUGAAAUGCGCAGAUAUCAGGAGGAACACCGGUGGCGAAGGCGGAUCUCUGGGCCAUUACUGACGCUGAGGAGCGAAAGCGUGGGGAGCGAACAGG